UCUAAUAUGUCUUGAUAUCGUCGAGAAAUUGGGGGAACCAGAAUAUCUUUAGUACUAAGUUGACAUAUUUUUAUUCGUUUAAUCCAGAAUGUAGCCUUCCUUGCUACGUUGAUGAUUUUACUUUUCAAGAAGCAUAGCUGAUCUCUGAUCUUCAUUGGAAUAGAUCGCUUUGCAACUUUCAAGUCCCUUUCGUAUCUUUACUUGAUGAUAUUAAAGGAAGAUAUUCCAAAAACAGCUUUCUGAACAAGAUAUGGGCAUUACGUGUUCCUAGUCAUGUCUUUUGGCUUGAACAAGAUAUCGGCAUUACGUGUUCCUAGUCAUGUCUUUUGGCUUAACAAAUGCACCAACUGUUUUCAUGGAUCUCAUGAAUCGGGUAUGUAAACCUUACUUAGAUAAAUUCAUCAUCGUAUUCAUUGAUGACAUUCUCAUUUACUCCAAAAGCAAAGAGGAGCAUGAACAACACUUGAGAAUAACUCUGGAACUACUAAAGCGAGAAAA